rnacentral:rRNA from 1 species
UACAGAGGUCCCGAGCGUUGUUCGGAUUCAUUGGGCGUAAAGGGUGCGUAGGCGGUCUUCUAAGUUUGAUGUGAAAUCCCGGGGCUCAACCCUGGAAUGGCAUUGAAUACUGGAGGACUAGAGUACCGGAGAGGAAACUGGAAUUUACGGUGUAGCAGUGAAAUGCGUAGAGAUCGUAAGGAAGACCAGUGGCGAAGGCGGGUCUCUGGACAGUUCUUGACGCUGAGGAGCGAAAGCGUGGGGAGCGAACAGG